rnacentral:rRNA from 1 species
UCUGGCUCAAGACGAACGCNGGCGGCGUGCUUAACACAUGCAAGUCGAACGCUGAAGCACCAGCUUGCUGGUGUGGAUGAGUGGCGAACGGGUGAGUAAUACGUGAGUAACCUGCCCUUGACUCUGGGAUAAGCCCGGGAAACUGGGUCUAAUACUGGAUGCUACAUGUCACCGCAUGGUGGUGUGUGGAAAGGGUUUACUGGUCUUGGAUGGGCUCACGGCCUAUCAGCUUGUUGGUGAGGUAAUGGCUCACCAAGGCGACGACGGGUAGCCGGCCUGAGAGGGUGACCGGCCACACUGGGACUGAGACACGGCCCAGACUCCUACGGGAGGCAGCAGUGGGGAAUAUUGCACAAUGGGCGAAAGCCUGAUGCAGCGACGCCGCGUGAGGGAUGACGGCCUUCGGGUUGUAAACCUCUUUCAGCAGGGAAGAAGCCACAA